rfam:Synergistales bacterium 54_24 S_scaffold_24, whole genome shotgun sequence.
GGAGUAUCCCAUGCGAUCGCUCCUUUCCAAGGAGAGGAAAGUCCGGGCUCCACAGGGCAGGACGCUGGAUAACAUCCAGUGGACGCAAGUCCAGGAGAGUGCCACAGAGACAUACCGCCUUCUUUGAAAGAAGGUAAGGGUGAAAAGGUGGGAUAAGAGCCCACCAGCCGCGGGGCGACCCGCGGGCUAGGCAAACCCCGUCCGGAGCAAGGCCAAGUAGGGAGGGUUGAGGCUGCCCGCUGACCUCCGGGUAAGGCCGCUUGAGGACGAGCGCAAGUUCGUCCUUAGAUAAAUGAUCGCGCAAUACAGAACCCGGCUUAUGGGGUGCUCUCGUU